UAACAUGAGAGUUUGAUCCUGGCUCAGGAUGAACGCUGGCGGCGUGCUUAACACAUGCAAGUCGAACGGAGAUAAUAGGAAGGUUUACCGGAAUAUUAUCUUAGUGGCGGACGGGUGAGUAACGCGUGGAUAACCUACCUUGCACAGGGGGAUAACAACGAGAAAUCGUUGCUAAUACCGCAUAAGUGUGAUCUUCGCAUGGAGAUUACAUGAAAGUUCCGGCGGUGCAAGAUGGGUCCGCGUCUGAUUAGCUAGUUGGUGAGAUAACAGCCCACCAAGGCAACGAUCAGUAGCCGGCUUGAGAGAGUGGACGGCCACACUGGGACUGAGACACGGCCCAGACUCCUACGGGAGG
rnacentral:rRNA from 1 species